UAUACAUGCGAGUCGAGUGGACAGACGAGGAGCUUGCUCCUCUGACGUUAGCGGCGGACGGGUGAGUAACACGUGGAUAACCUACCUAUAAGACUGGGAUAACUUCGGGAAACCGGAGCUAAUACCGGAUAAUAUAUUGAACCGCAUGGUUCAAUAGUGAAAGACGGUUUUGCUGUCACUUAUAGAUGGAUCCGCGCCGCAUUAGCUAGUUGGUAAGGUAACGGCUUACCAAGGCAACGAUGCGUAGCCGACCUGAGAGGGUGAUCGGCCACACUGGAACUGAGACACGGUCCAGACUCCUACGGGAGGCAGCAGUAGGGAAUCUUCCGCAAUGGGCGAAAGCCUGACGGAGCAACGCCGCGUGAGUGAUGAAGGUCUUCGGAUCGUAAAACUCUGUUAUUAGGGAAGAACAAAUGUGUAAGUAACUAUGCACGUCUUGACGGUACCUAAUCAGAAAGCCACGGCUAACUACGUGCCAGCAGCCGCGGUAAUACGUAGGUGGCAAGCGUUAUCCGGAAUUAUUGGGCGUAAAGCGCGCGUAGGCGGUUUUUUAAGUCUGAUGUGAAAGCCCACGGCUCAACCGUGGAGGGUCAUUGGAAACUGGAAAACUUGAGUGCAGAAGAGGAAAGUGGAAUUCCAUGUGUAGCGGUGAAAUGCGCAGAGAUAUGGAGGAACACCAGUGGCGAAGGCGACUUUCUGGUCUGUAACUGACGCUGAUGUGCGAAAGCGUGGGGAUCAAACAGGAUUAGAUACCCUGGUAGUCCACGCCGUAAACGAUGAGUGCUAAGUGUUAAGGGGGGUUUCCGCCCCUUAGUGCUGCAGCUAACGCAU
rnacentral:rRNA from 1 species